rnacentral:rRNA from 1 species
UGAGGAAUAUUGGUCAAUGGGCGAGAGCCUGAACCAGCCAAGUAGCGUGAAGGAUGACAGCCCUAUGGGUUUUAAACUUCUUUUAUAAGGGAAUAAAGUGCCCCACGUGUGGGGUUUUGUAUGUACCUUAUGAAUAAGCAUCGGCUAAUUCCGUGCC